rnacentral:rRNA from 1 species
CCUACGGGAGGCAGCAGUUAGGAAUUUUGGGCAAUGGGCGAAAGCCUGACCCAGCAACGCCGCGUGGGUGACGAAGGCCUUCGGGUUGUAAAGCCCUUUUCUGAGGGAAGAUGAUGACGGUACCUCAGGAAUAAGCACCGGCUAACUACGUGCCAGCAGCCGCGGUAAUACGUAGGGUGCAAGCGUUGCCCGGAUUUAUUGGGCGUAAAGGGCGCGCAGGCGGCUACGCACGUCCGUUGUGAAAUCGCUCGGCUCAACUGGGCGGGGUCAGCGGAUACGGCGUAGCUGGAGCAAGCUAGGGGGCAAUGGAAUUCCCGGUGUAGUGGUGGAAUGCGUAGAUAUCGGGAGGAACACCAGUGGCGAAGGCGGUUGCCUGGAGCUUUGCUGACGCUGAGGCGCGAAAGCGUGGGGAGCGAUCCGGAUUAGAUACCCGGGUAGUCCACGCCGUAAACGAUGUCGACUAGGUGUCGGGGGUAUCGACCCCCUCGGCGCCGCAGCUAACGCAUUAAGUCGACCGCCUGGGGACUACGGCCGCAAGGCUAAAACUCAAAGGAAUUGACGG